rnacentral:rRNA from 1 species
UACGUAGGGUGCGAGCGUUGUCCGGAAUUAUUGGGCGUAAAGGGCUCGUAGGCGGUUUGUCGCGUCGGGAGUGAAAACCCAGGGCUUAACCCUGGGCUGGCUUUCGAUACGGGCAGACUAGAGGUAGGCAGGGGAGAGCGGAACUCCUGGUGUAGCGGUGGAAUGCGCAGAUAUCAGGAAGAACACCGGUGGCGAAGGCGGCUCUCUGGGCCUUACCUGACGCUGAGGAGCGAAAGCGUGGGGAGCGAACAGG